rnacentral:rRNA from 1 species
UACGAAAGGUGCGAGCGUUAAUCGGAAUUACUGGGCGUAAAGCGCGCGUAGGCGGCUACUUAAGUCGGAUGUGAAAUCCCCGGGCUCAACCUGGGAACUGCAUCCGAUACUGGGUAGCUAGAGUGCAGUAGAGGGAGGUGGAAUUUCAGGUGUAGCGGUGAAAUGCGUAGAGAUCUGAAGGAACACCAGUGGCGAAGGCG